rnacentral:snoRNA from 1 species
AAUAAAUGAUGAUUACAUUCUGCCAAAUGAAUGAUAUGAUUAUAACCCAAGCCCGUAUAUUUAAUCUGAUAUU